AUGGAGAGCAAAAUGCUUAGGUCUGCUGUGGUCGUUUGUUUCUUGUUGGGGCUGCUUAUAGGCCAGUCCCAAGCAACUUUCCAAGAAUGUUAUGCUGGUUGCAUGCUUAUAUGUUUAAUCAAACAACACAAGAUUGGUUGCUUUGCAAAAUGUCUGAAAUCCUGCUUCGUAAUUCCUACGGACAUCCAAGCAAAACCCGAACACUACUGCAAGCUUGGUUGUGCUACAUCUUUGUGUUCCAAUAUUAGCACAAAAGAUAAUAUUAGUACGUAAUCUCUCUCUCUCUAUAUAUAUAUAUAUAUAUAUAUAUAUCUCUCUCUCUCUCUCUUUCUCUCUCUAUAAGUUCAUUAAACUUGGAUUACACUCUUUUUGCACUAAAUUUUGAUCCUACAUUUUUAAUAACGGUAUUAGCUAAAUUUAUAGUUCGGUUCAGUCACAUUUGUAUUAGAAAUGUAGUGCAUAAUAUGUUACAAAAUGUGGGAUUUUACUCAUUUGGCUCAUCUUUUGUUUUUUAAUUUUUGUUUUCAGAUGAAGACAAAGUAAACGCUUGCGUGGAUUCUUGCUCCGGGCCUUGCUCCAAGUCUUACGUGUCAGCAAAGAACUAA
rnacentral:lncRNA from 1 species